CGCCUUGCCAGCCCGCUCAGAAACUCAAAUGAAUUGACGGGGGCCCGCACAAGCGGUGGAGCAUGUGGUUUAAUUCGAUGAUACGCGAGGAACCUUACCUGGGCUCAAAUGUAUGUUGACGUAUUCUGAAAGGGAUACUUCUUCGGACAAUAUACAAGGUGCUGCAUGGUUGUCGUCAGCUCGUGCCGUGAGGUGUCGGGUUAAGUCCCAUAACGAGCGCAACCCUUGCCUUUAGUUGCCAGCAGUUCGGCUGGGCACUCUAAAGGGACUGCCGGUGUUAAACCGGAGGAAGGUGGGGAUGACGUCAAGUCCUCAUGGCCUUUAUGACCAGGGCUACACACGUACUACAAUGGCCGAUACAAAGGGCAGCGACACUGCGAGGUGAAGCCAAUCCCGUAAAAUCGGUCUCAGUCCGGAUUGGAGUCUGCAACUCGACUCCAUGAAGUUGGAAUCGCUAGUAAUCGUGGAUCAGCAUGCCACGGUGAAUACGUUCCCGGGCCUU
rnacentral:rRNA from 1 species